rnacentral:rRNA from 1 species
GAUCAUGGCUCAGGACGAACGCUGGCGCGCGCCUAACACAUGCAAGUCGAACGAGCGAGAGAGAGCUUGCUUUCUCGAGCGAGUGGCGAACGGGUGAGUAACGCGUGAGGAACCUGCCUCAAAGAGGGGACAACAGUCGGAACGACUGCUAAUACCGCAUAAGCCCACAGGUCGGCAUCGACCAGAGGGAAAAGGAGCAAUCCGCUUUGAGAUGGCCUCGCGUCCGAUUAG